rnacentral:snRNA from 1 species
GAAUGUGAGGGCCAUCUGGCUGUGCCAUUGAUCAUUAAGGUUGAUUCUGCUGAUCUAGCUGGCUACACAGAUAUUCCCUUCCUCUCUGCUCUAAAGUCAAGGCAUAUCAGUAGCUGUUAAAAUAUCCAAAAAAGCCCUCAAGGGAUAUACAGAAGUCUGUAAAGGACAGUGUUU